AAAAAUUUAAAACAUUUUUUUAAAAAAAAUUUUAAAAAAAAUUUAAUUUUUAAAAAACAUUUAAGAAAAAAUUUUAAAAAAAUGUCGGUACUCACUUAUGGUGAUUUUUUACUUGUACGGAACAUGUUUUGGAGCCUAAAGUUCCAUCCUCAGUCGGCAGCGAACUCAAUACAUCGAGUACAUCUCUAACCAGAGAUUAAGAGUAUGGUCUACUUCCGGAUUAGUCCAGUGCUACUCCGAUUGAGUGAAGCUAAUCAGCCGCGAAUGGUAUCUAUAAAAGGUAUAUAUUUACUUGUAAAUAUUUUUUUUCUACAUGAACAUUUCUAGGAGAAAAUCUGAAAACAUAAUUUUGAAUUGUUCACAGAUGCUGAGAGGGUAGGGGGAUGCCCGAGAUUAGUCGCUCGGACUCGCAAAGAUCGGACUCCUCCAUUAAACCUCGAGUAUCUUUCAACAGAGAUGUCCACAUAAAGAAAAUAGGUCACCCGGAUGCUCCUAGCGUUGUAGGGGCGCUCGCGGGCGAUGGAGAGGGGCACCUGGUGCCGACGGCGGUGCGGCGGGAGGGCCCCAGCCGGCUGUCCAGGCGAGAGCUGGCCAAGGAGGCCGAGAAGGUCCUCAAACAGGCCGAAAGCGUCGUCUGCGUCCCCAUAUCCGAGUCGGGGGCCAUCAUCGAAGAGAAGCCCAGCAGACCCACUAGAAAUCAUAUCCCACAUAGGUCCAACUUGACGCGGAGGUCCAGUUUUGGAGGCUCCGACAACAAGCAUGAGCUUUCCAGCAAAAAGCAAGGUAACUUUUUUAUGUAAAUUCUCCAGUAAAAUUGACUGAAUUUUGCGAUUAGGAACUGCAAUUUCUGGCUCCUCCGUAAGAACACGUAUUUCUAUAGGGAAACUAAUGGUACAUACGCUAUUUCUAAAUUGAGCCAGAAAUUCUAGUUCCAAAUUACAAAAAGUAGCCGAAUUGUGCCGCAAGGGACAAGACACGCUUGGGCGAUGUAAGAAUAAAUAGCGUGGACAAAACUCGUUGUAUGUGCAUUGAGAGUUUUGAGAAAAAACCUAUUGCAAUCGUGUAG
rnacentral:lncRNA from 1 species